rnacentral:rRNA from 1 species
GAUGAACGCUAGCGGGAGGCCUAACACAUGCAAGCCGAGCGGUAGAGUCUCUUCGGAGCCUUGAGAGCGGCGCACGGGUGCGGAACACGUGUGCAACCUGCCUUUAUCUGGGGGAUAGCCUUUCGAAAGGAAGAUUAAUACCCCAUAAUAUACUGGAUGGCAUCAUCUGGUAUUGAAAACUCCGGUGGAUAGAGAUGGGCACGCGCAAGAUUAGAUAGUUGGUGAGGUAACGGCUCACCAAGUCAGCGAUCUUUAGGGGGCCUGAGAGGGUGAUCCCCCACACUGGUACUGAGACACGGACCAGACUCCUACGGGAGGCAGCAGUGAGGAAUAUUGGACAAUGGGUGAGAGCCUGAUCCAGCCAUCCCGCGUGAAGGACGACGGCCCUAUGGGUUGUAAACUUCUUUUGUAUAGGGAUAAACCUAGAUACGUGUAUCUAGCUGAAGGUACUAUACGAAUAAGCACCGGCUAACUCCGCG